CAGCCGCCACGGUAAUACAGAGGGUGCGAGCGUUAAUCGGAUUUACUGGGCGUAAAGCGUGCGUAGGCGGCUUCUUAAGUCGGAUGUGAAAUCCCUGAGCUUAACUUAGGAAUUGCAUUCGAUACUGGGAAGCUAGAGUAUGGGAGAGGAUGGUAGAAUUCCAGGUGUAGCGGUGAAAUGCGUAGAGAUCUGGAGGAAUACCGAUGGCGAAGGCAGCCAUCUGGCCUAAUACUGACGCUGAGGUACGAAAGCAUGGGUAGCAAACAGGAUUAGAUACCCCCGUAGUCCCUGUCUCUUAUAC
rnacentral:rRNA from 1 species